UACAGAGGGGGCAAGCGUUGUUCGGAAUUACUGGGCGUAAAGGGCGCGUAGGCGGCCCGCUAAGUCGGAUGUGAAAUCCCCAGGCUCAACCUGGGAACUGCAUCCGAUACUGGAUGGCUUGAAUUCGGGAGAGGGAUGCAGAAUUCCAGGUGUAGCGGUGAAAUGCGUAGAUAUCUGGAGGAAUACCGGUGGCGAAGGCGGCAUCCUGGACCGACAUUGACGCUGAUGAGCGAAAGCUAGGGGAGCAAACGGG
rnacentral:rRNA from 1 species